AGAAGUCCAAAUUGAAAUCCAAUUUCUAUUAAGCACAAGCCAUUUCAAUUUCUAUUAAGCACAAGCCUAUCAAAAUACCGGGUAUUACAGUUGCUAAACAACCUAAUUGAGAAGAAAAGAAAUAUGCAGUACUGUAAUUAUAUCUGGAAAAAAAGAGGGGGUGGCGGUGAGGGGAAUUACCCCUAUUUUCAAGGCUAGGUACCGUUAAACUAGGUCUGACUUAACAAUAAUCAGAACCUGUUCAGUACUACAAAAUACCUAUUCAGUAGCAAGAAUCAUAGCCAUAGGGCUCUUGACAACAACACAUGUAAUGUACGUGUCUGCUCUGCUUUCUUUUCUUUUCUUUUUUUUUUUUUAAUUUUUUCUUUCUUGUAGCUUAUUCUCAUUAAUUGCUUCAAUUCCUUUGUGUGCAUAUUCCUGCUAUCUGAUUUAUUUGUUCACAGUUUACUAGUAAUUGUUAUUUGUCAUUUAACAAAAUUCAGACUUUAAUGGAUGUCUUAAAAAUAAUUUGUACUAAAGCAUAUUAGGGAAAGUGCAACGUUUUGUUUGAGUUUAUCUUUAACACUGAGAAUUUUGAAAUUUUUGGAAAUAUAUCCAUUAACAUUUAAACUCUGUUGCCAACCAAAAAAAAAACAUUUAAACUCUGUUAAUAAAUAUGAAAAUAUAAAUCAACCCAAUUGUGAGUGAAAAGAUGGAAGCAUUACAAUGAAUUAUCGAAGAUUAAAUCAGAAUGCAAUUUGGAAAUUGAAGUAGAUUAUGUGAAGUUUUAUGUUUGUUUAAUAUGUGACUAUGUAGUUUAAACUCGGGGUUCUCCAGUGUGCUUUGGAAGGAAAAUGAUCCUCCUUCCAUCUUUUCACUCACAAUUGGGUCCAUUCCAGAUUCAUAUUUAUUAACAAAGUUCAGAUUUUAAUGGAUAUAUAUGUUUUGUUUGAAUUUAUACAUACAACUAAAAAUGAUCCUCCAUUCCAUAUUUGCGCUAUUUUCUCCAACUCUCAUACCCCAUGUUUGCAUCAAACAACAGUCUGCUAUUGACUACUUGUACAAUGAUCGUCUUCCCAAAUUUCUAUUUUGAUUUGAUUUGUAUUUUCAAGGACAUUUGUGGUCAUGUUACAUGAUGUUUUACAACUUGCGACUGUCAUUAACUAGGCCCAAAUUAUUCUUUCAUGCAGGGGAGCUUUCUUUGUCGGCCAUAAAUGUACAUAAUGAAAUUAUUUGUGAUUAUUGCAAGGUAACAUCCAUCUUGUAACUUUCUUUUCCCUACAUGAGUAAAGUCUACUCACUUCAAUCCACACAAGAUAAAGCACCCAAUGGAUCCUUCUAUUCGUUAUAUAUUUUCUGCCAAUGGAUCUUGUGUUCUUGUUCUACUGGUUUAAAGUUAUUGAAUGAUAAAAUUGGUUUUGAAAAUCUAAACUAGCUCUUUUUGGUAACUGUUCAUUUUAUAUUGUUGACUCAAAGGGAGAUGGCAUUGGGAUUCCAAUAUUUCAACAUUAAGCAAAUAUGAGUUUGUAAAGUUUCCAGCCAUGCAGUACUAUCAUGUUGCUUGUAUGUAUCUUUUAGUCAUGUUCUCAAGUCUUACCACCUAAAUGGCUAUCUCGACAGAUGAGUCCAAUGGUCGGUAUAAUUGCAAACACUGUCAUGAAGAAAAUGUCAUCACUGAGGGAGGUGUGAGUUUUGAUUUGUGUGAAGAGUAUUAUCAUACUUGCUUUAAGCAUUGAGAUCUUGCCAAUUAGCAUCACACACAAGGGCAUGCAUUUGAACUUGUUACAUCCUGUGGAGCCAGUCCAGUUCCUAUAUAUCCUGAUGAUACUUCAGAGGAUGCAGAAGAUGGUCUUGUGGCUGUGAGUUCCCAGUCAGAUGGAGAAGAUGAAGAAGAAUUGAAUUUCAAUGUAUUCUUCU
rnacentral:lncRNA from 1 species